rnacentral:rRNA from 1 species
CUACGGGAGGCAGCAGUGGGGAAUUUUGCGCAAUGGGGGAAACCCUGACGCAGCGACGCCGCGUGGAGGAAGAAGGUUUUCGGAUUGUAAACUCCUUUUGCAGGGAAAAUA